AGUGAACGCUGGCGGUAGGCCUAACACAUGCAAGUCGAGCGGCAGCACAGUAAGAGCUUGCUCUUACGGGUGGCGAGUGGCGGACGGGUGAGGAAUACAUCGGAAUCUACUUUUUCGUGGGGGAUAACGUAGGGAAACUUACGCUAAUACCGCAUACGACCUACGGGUGAAAGCAGGGGAUCUUCGGACCUUGCGCGAUUGAAUGAGCCGAUGUCGGAUUAGCUAGUUGGCGGGGUAAAGGCCCACCAAGGCGACGAUCCGUAGCGGGUCUGAGAGGAUGAUCAGCCACACUGGAACUGAGACACGGUCCAGACUCCUACGGGAGGCAGCAGUGGGGAAUAUUGGACAAUGGGCGCAAGCCUGAUCCAGCCAUACCGCGUGGGUGAAGAAGGCCUUCGGGUUGUAAAGCCCUUUUGUUGGGAAAGAAAAGCAGCAGGUUAAUACCCCGCUGUUCUGACGGUACCCAAAGAAUAAGCACCGGCUAACUUCGUG
rnacentral:rRNA from 1 species